rnacentral:rRNA from 1 species
GACGACGCUGGCGGCAUGCCUAACACAUGCAAGUCGAACGAGAAAGUUCCUUCGGGAGCAAUUAAAGUGGCGCACGGGUGAGUAACGCGUAGACAAUCUGCCCUUCAGUCUGGGACAACUUUUCGAAAGGAGAGCUAAUACCGGAUAACAAUGCAUGACACAAGUUGUAUAUUUGAAAGCUUUAUGUGCUGAAGGAGGGGUCUGCGUCCCAUUAGCUAGUUGGUAAGGUAAAGGCUUACCAAGGCAACGAUGGGUAGCGGGUUUGAGAGGACGAUCCGCCACACUGGAACUGAGACACGGUCCAGACUCCUACGGGAGGCAGCAGUGGGGAAUAUUGCACAAUGGAGGAAACUCUGAUGCAGCAAUGUCGCGUGAGUGAAGAAGGCCCUUGGGUCGUAAAGCUCUUUUAUGGGGGAAGAUGAUGACGGUACCCCAAGAAUAAGCACCGGCUAACUAUGUGCCAGCAGCCGCGGUAAUACAUAGGGUGCGAGCGUUGUUCGGAAUUACUGGGCGUAAAGGGCGCGCAGGCGGAAUAGUAAGUCGGAGGUGAAAGCCCGGGGCUCAACCCCGGAGGGUCUUUCGAAACUACUAAUCUAGAGAGGGUCAGGGGCCGGCAGAAUUCCUGGUGUAGAGGUGAAAUUCGUAGAUAUCAGGAGGAAUACCGGUGGCGAAGGCGGCCGGCUGGGGCCACUCUGACGCUGAGGCGCGAAAGCGUGGGGAGCAAACAGGAUUAGAUACCCUGGUAGUCCACGCCGUAAACGAUGAGCACUGGACGUCCGGAGGGUUCGACCCUUCUGGGUGUCUCAGCUAACGCAUUAAGUGCUCCGCCUGGGGAGUACGGUCGCAAGACUAAACUAAUAGGAUAGG